UACGUAGGGUGCAAGCGUUAAUCGGAAUUACUGGGCGUAAAGCGUGCGCAGGCGGUUUUGUAAGUCUGAUGUGAAAUCCCCGGGCUCAACCUGGGAAUUGCAUUGGAGACUGCAAGGCUAGAAUCUGGCAGAGGGGGGUAGAAUUCCACGUGUAGCAGUGAAAUGCGAAGAGAUGUGGAGGAACACCGAUGGCGAAGGCAGCCCCCUGGGUCAAGAUUGACGCUCAUGCACGAAAGCGUGGGGAGCAAACAGG
rnacentral:rRNA from 1 species